ACCACGCAUCACACAAGACACUGUGGCUCGCUGGACUCGCGGCUGGACUCAUGUGACGAUGCCACCGCCGUCGCCUUUCUCUCUCCACGGCGCACCCCUGCUCCUCGCCGUGCCGUGACGCUGCCUGGGUCGCAGUCACCUUCGCUUGCACGGCGCCGCCCCAAUCUGCGCGUGGUCGCCGUCGAUUCCUGCUUCAGUCGUCUGUCCCGGCGUCACCUCCCUCCCUCCCCCCAGAUCUCUUUCUCCUCGUCCCCCACUAGACCAUGGAGGAAAUUGGUUGGGAUCGAUAUCCCAGAUUGAAUUCUGGAGCAUCUGAAGGUGGUGCAGCCGUACUGAACUGUCCAUACUCCAUACAGGUUCAGUGAAACUUCAUAUGAACUGAAGGCCCUUUGGUUUGUCUCCUUUCCUAGAAUUAAGCUUUGGGGCUAAUAUCGAACAAUGGAAACAGAUGGGCUAGCAAGGGAAGUACCGUCUAUAGAUUUUAGGUCUUGUAUUUACCCUUUGUCCCAAUUACUAUACUUGAUAUCAGUAUUUUUGUCGCUGAACUAAAGAACCUGAGAUGUAUGAUUUUUUUAUUUACUUUUUUGCCAUAUUUGCAUACAGAGGUAGAGGCUUCAUCUCCUUGGACAAUUUAUUGUUCUUCGCGGGAACUAUCCGUAUACUUAAGUUAGAACGAUGGCUAAUGGAUCAUGUGCUUCCUUGGCAAGUUGACAUCAUUGAUCCUGCCCUGGACAGUGUGAGAAGCUCCAAAACCUAGAUCAGCGAGCAGGGUCGGCAAGGCAAAACAAUGUGAAGAUCAUGACAAACUAGGUUGUCCAACUCCAAUCAUCAGAGUCAGAGGUUCACAUACAUCUGUCAUUUACAGCACAAGGGUGAUGAUAACAAUGAUGCCACCGAUACUCCAUGACUGAUUUUGCUUUGGUCGAUUUCAUAAAAUUGUACAUUGAUCAGACUCUGGAUGGUUUGACAUGAUAAUAGAAAAUGUAAAUUGUAGAUUGUAAUAGUUGAACUUCCUAUCACAUGAUCAAUGUACAAUGCCAUUUUAUGUGAUA